rnacentral:rRNA from 1 species
GGCGCCCAGGGCAUUGCCUCAGUAGCGGCGAGUGAAGCGGCAAGAGCUCAGAUUUGAAAUCGUGCUUUGCGGCACGAGUUGUAGAUUGCAGGUUGGAGUCUGUGUGGAAGGCGGUGUCCAAGUCCCUUGGAACAGGGCGCCCAGGAGGGUGAGAGCCCCGUGGGAUGCCGGCGGAAGCAGUGAGGCCCUUCUGACGAGUCGAGUUGUUUGGGAAU